rnacentral:rRNA from 1 species
UUGUGAGAUGUAAAAAUGUAACAAGGUUUCCGUAGGUGAACCUGCGGAAGGAUCAUUACAGAAUGAAAAGUGCUUAACUGCAUUUUUUCUUACACAUGUGUUUUUCUUUUUUUGAAAACUUUGCUUUGGUAGGCCUUCUAUAUGGGGCCUGCCAGAGAUUAAACUCAACCAAAUUUUAUUUAAUGUCAACCGAUUAUUUAAUAGUCAAAACUUUCAACAACGGAUCUCUUGGUUCUCGCAUCGAUGAAGAACGCAGCGAAAUGCGAUAAGUAAUAUGAAUUGCAGAUAUUCGUGAAUCAUCGAAUCUUUGAACGCACAUUGCGCCCUUUGGUAUUCCAAAGGGCAUGCCUGUUUGAGCGUCAUUUCUCCCUCAAACCCUCGGGUUUGGUGUUGAGCGAUACGCUGGGUUUGCUUGAAAGAAAGGCGGAGUAUAAACUAAUGGAUAGGUUUUUUCCACUCAUUGGUACAAACUCCAAAACUUCUUCCAAAUUCGACCUCAAAUCAGGUAGGACUACCCGCUGAACUUAAGCAUAUCAUAAGCGGGGAGGAA